rnacentral:ncRNA from 1 species
UCUUGUUUCCCAAAGAAGUCAGAGUCUUGCUGAUCAAGGUCGGCAAAAGCGUACUUCGGGUAACUAGACACUACUUGCUUGUUUCUGGUGGAGGUUUCUUUACUUUUUGUAGAGGAUGCUCUGCAAAUAAAAUUCAGAAAAGACAGCUAUAUCUUAGGGAGAAGCUGAAUUUUCGGUGACAAAGGAUGGAAACAGGCAAAUUGUA